rnacentral:lncRNA from 1 species
GAAAUUUAUAAGAUCUCCUCCACUGAGAGGGUCCAGCAGAUGGAAAAGGAAUUGGCUAUACAGCUGGAUGAACUAAAGACAGAAAUAGAGGAAAGUGGGGUUCUGCAGACAGGGAUACCGUACCGCUCUGUUCCCUUUCCAAAGGACCUUGAUUAUUUCAGAAGAGAAAGAGAGCUGGUGCUGAAGAAAUGCUUACAGGUAGCAGAAACAAAGUCUCUUGUAAUUCAGGCUGAUGUCCUGCAGAGGGAGCUAGAGAUCUGUCUUAAAAGAGAAUAUACAUCUGAAAGUCUGCCUUUGCUUUUGCACCAGUUUUUUACAGACAGAAUCACACAGUUGGUCCAAAGUAAAUACUUACACAUGCUGAGAUGGAAGAGAUUUUGUCAGCACAGCAGUACAGCUGAACAGCUCUAUCCUUUCUACAAGAAACAAGUGGCUCACAUUAUGCAGGAAUACAAUGAUGCUGUUCAGAGGGCUACAAGACUAUCAAGUGCACGGGAGAACUUCCUGACAGGAAAAGAAAAUCCCCCCACUUUAGUCACCCAGGAAGACCUGAUUAUUUAUACCCAAUGGCUAAUAUGCCACCUGCACUCAGUUAAGGCCAUUCACAACUACCUCCGGGUGCUCCAGUAUUUGCCCAUCUCUCAUAGGAUGGAGGUGGCAACUGACAGAUAUCCAGUCUGGGGUGAAAAGGAUAAAUUCAGAACACUAAAAAAACCUGAAUUUGUAUCUGCUGGUGUUGAAUUUUCUAUCUGUUCUAGCACAUUGGCUACAGAUGGAUCCUUAUCAAGUGAUGCUCCUGGAGCACUUCCCCAACACAGUGCAGAAAUUAAAGAACUGAAGCCUCAGCUUAGACUUUUGCUUUCUCAGUUUGGUAUCACUUAUGAUGUGGAAGACCUGAGGCAUUCUGGUAAUGAGAUGGAACUUUUCUCUAAGGUUGCCCAUGAGUUUCGGAACAUUUUCAAUAAACAGCAAACAAUGAGAACAUUUCCUACUUAUGAUGCUGGAAAGCCUGGAUCAGAAACCUGGAAUAUACUGGAAUCCAAGAC